rnacentral:rRNA from 1 species
UGCCAGCAGCCGCGGUAAGACAGAGGGUGCAAGCGUUAAUCGGAAUGACUGGGCGUAAAGGGCACGUAGGUGGAUGUAGUCGUUAUGUGUUAAAGACUCGGGCUUAACCUGGGGAUUGCAUGUAAUACUAUACAUCUAGAGUACAGUAGAGGAAAGUAGAAUUCCCGGUGUAGCGGUGAAAUGCGUAGAUAUCGGGAGGAAUACCAGUGGCGAAGGCGGCUUUCUGGACCGAUACUGACGCUGAGACGCGAAAGCGUGGGGAGCAAACAGGAUUAGAUA